UUUCAGCAGACCAAGAGAUGCCACCUGGUCCUAAGACCCCCUCCCAGGAACUGACUUUGCGGAGACAGUUUUAGACACCUCCAUGAUUUCAUCCCCAGCUGAAAAAGUACAGAUGCUCCUAUGACUUGUAAUCUCCAAUAUUAUUUUAAUGUAUAAGAAUCAACUAUGAAGGAGCUGACUGCUGUGUCCACUGCUGUGUCCAGCAUGCGACAGUGGAGGAAUUCCGGCCCAGCAGAAAGCUCCCCUAGAUCCACUGGCCUUAGUGACCCUCAGAUGCAGCUGAUGUCAGUGAACACAGCCUGGCAGAUUGGGAGUCAUUGGUGGAGAGGAGGGAACAAUGCUGCUUUAAGGUCCAGGCUCACUGCUGGGGAAGAAGUCAGCAGGGCUCAGCUCAGGUUAUUUCUCCACUGUGGCAUAAACAGGAGACUGAAAAAACAGAGUAGUGCUUUCCAUGCCUUUAUUAAUGACUUUUCUCCUGGGUAGCCUCAGGCAUACCCUUCAGCAGCACAGUGAGUUGAAAGGGCCUCCGCUGGGCAUGGUGGCUCAUGCCUGUACUUUGGGAAGUGGAGGUGGGCGGUUCACAAGGUCAGGAGUUCAAGACCAGCCUGGCCAACAUGGAUAAACCCCAUCUCUACUAAAAAUACAAAAAAUUAGCCAUGCAUGGUGGCAGGUGCCUGUAAUCCCAGCUACUCGGGAGGCUGAGGCAGGAGAAUUACUUGAACCCGGGGCAUAGGUUGCAGUGAGCCAUGAUCAUGCCACUGCCCUCCAGCAUGGGUGACAGAGUGAG
rnacentral:lncRNA from 1 species